CUUCGAGAGAAUCGAAUGGGAGAGUCCAUGUAAUUGAAUGAAAUAGCGACAAUACUAAUCAUCGAUAUUAAUAAUAAAUAGCCGUGUCAAUUAAGUAAAUUUAAAAAUAUUAAUUAAAAUUCUUGAGUUUAAAUUUGAAACUGUUAGCCUCUAAAAGAAAGAACUAGUUUUUUCGGACGCAGAACCGUGACUCGUUAUUUUAGAAAACUUUCAGAGUAGAAAAAGUUAAUAAGAAUAUUGAAUCUUGCCGGAAUGGGAGCCGCUUCGUAGGGAGCGUUUAGCCAACGAAGAAAAUGUCAGAACAAAAAAUAGUUCUCCAGAGACACUCGAGAGUCAGCCGUGCACACGAAUCCUAGUCACUUUGUAUGCUGGACUUGGUUCGUGCUCCUUCACCCAGGGGUCAUGCUUUAUCGGCGCACCGGAGGUGGUUGUCGUAGGAGAAGAGGCACGUUAGGAGAGAGAGUAGUGAGCCCCCGUGGGCGAGAAUACCACCAGGUCGUGCACUGAUGACAAAGGCCGACAGUGGUGACACUCCUAAAUUGAGAGAGAGGUUGAAUGAAGACUGGGUGGAAAGGGUCGGAGAAAUUUCGGGAGGAAAUAGAAGACGGAGAUCACCCACGUGGAUGAGUCAGUGAGAAACUUCAGUUCUCCUUGCCCGAUCUGCUGCUUAGUGCAGCCGUCGAUGAACUGACUCUUGCGGUCCAGUCGCCCCAUAUUUAUAGACACUUCACACGCAUGUGCGCCUGUGAUUGGUUCGGCGAUCAGACGGAUUGCGAGAUGCCGAUUGGAGCAGCACUCGGUGGUGGGGAUAAAUAAGCUGUUUUACAAGAUUGACUAUUGUUCUCUUAAAUAAAUCACAGGCUUUUGGUUUAGAGCAUAAGACGUAAUAGAGUAUUCAUCUUCAUCCUCCCCACCACCGUGUCUUCCGCGAAUCACCGUCGCGCAAUCCGUUCAGACCGCCGAACCAAUCACAGGCGUGCGUGCCCGUCGCGCGUCUAUAAAUACGGCGCAACUCCGCGGAGCUCCUCAGAUCGUCAGUGAUUGUGGAACCGGUAACAGUGCAAAACCUCUAACAAUAAAGAAGACAUCUCUAACAGCAGAAUCCAGACUAGUGGAAGCUUGAAGAAAGUUACAAUCCCUGGACCAACAGCAGCAACAAUCGAGCAGCAGAAGGAAAAGCUGGGAUAAAGUCAACGAGGAUUUCAACGGCAGAUUUUUUAAGAUUUUUGAUCGUUGACGACCAAUCCCAUAUUGAGUUUGAAAUGCAGACCUGAAAAUAUGAGUAAGAGGGACUUCCCACUACAUUGACUGACGUUGCAAUGCUU